GUGGAGAAGUGCACAAAGGUGGAGAGGAACGUAGAGACGCAGGCUGCUGGGAGUAAAGACCACACAGAUGGAGAGGGCUCAGAAGCUGGGAACCAAUGUGCUUGUGAAACUGAACACGACAAAAGUAUGGAUAUGGGAAACCAACAUCCUUCUAUUAGUAGGCUUCAGGAAAUCCAAAAGGAAGUAAAAA